UACGUAGGUGGCGAGCGUUGUCCGGAUUUACUGGGCGUAAAGAGCGCGCAGGCGGUCGUUCAAGUCGCGUGUGAAAGCCCCCGGCUCAACUGGGGAGGGUCACGCGAUACUGAUCGACUCGAAGGCAGGAGAGGGUAGUGGAAUUCCCGGUGUAGUGGUGAAAUGCGUAGAUAUUGGGAGGAACACCAGUGGCGAAGGCGGCUCGCUGGACCGGUUCUGACGCUGAGGCACGAAAGCGUGGGGAGCAAACAGG
rnacentral:rRNA from 1 species